UCCACGCUGUAAACGAUGAGUACUAGCUGUUGGGUCCGGUGUAAAGAAUUUAGUGGCGUAGCUAACGCGGUAAGUACUCCGCCUGGGGACUAUGGUCGCAAGACUAAAACUCAAAGGAAUUGACGGGGACCCGCACAAGCGGUGGAGCAUGUGGUUUAAUUCGAUGCAACGCGAAGAACCUUACCUGGUCUUGACAUCCUGAGAACUUUCUAGAGAUAGAUUGGUGCCUUCGGGAACUCAGUGACAGGUGCUGCACGGCUGUCGUCAGCUCGUGUUGUGAAAUGUUGGG
rnacentral:rRNA from 1 species